GAUGGACCCGAUUCAUUCACAUUAUGGUUCCGGACUCUUCCUGGUGUGUUGCUCACACAGGCAGUGCAGCGUCUUGACUCAGCUGGAUUCCCAUCCCAGAAUCCCUUCCGGUGUCCUGCUGUCCAGGGUCUCUCUCCCCCAUCAUAUUGCCUCUCUGUCUUUCCUUUACCUUCUAUCCACUCUGUCUAAACAUUGGUGCCUCAAGCUUUCCUGUCAAAUCUACCGCUCUGUCUUUGCAUUUGGAAAUUCAUUCUUUGUGUCCCCCUCUAUCCCACUCUGAUCUGUGAUGAAACUUUGAAACAUUUCUGAAAAACCUUGAGGAACCUGAUUCUGCACCAAAACCUGGAACCCUGACUAAUAACCAAAUUGAUUUGGUUUUGCUAUGGUUACAAGUACCUGUCUGUUGAUGAAUACUCUGAGAGUCUCUCGCGCUCUCUGUCUCUCCUCUGAUCACUCACCUUGACUCGGGUUAUUGGUACCUGAUCUAUCUUUUUUGGACAAUCUGAGAGAUUCUCUUCUCUCACGCUCACCUCUUUCAAUCUCCUAUCUACAACACAUACACCUAUCUGUAGACAACUAUUACUGCUUUUACAAAUUGGAGAAAACAUUUGAUAUAUUUUUCUUUUGAGAUUAUAAACUGUAAAGAAACCGUACAACGUCCACAAUCUUUGGUUGUAAUUGACAACGGUUACACAUUUUAUACUUAAGAAUUUAAUCUGGUGAUUUUCAAAAUAUAUAAUUUCUUAUAAAAGGUGCAUAAUUCACAAGACGUGUACUCUUAAUACACAAAAAUACAUUGGAGUGAAAAUCCAUAUUAGAGAAGAGUUUUUAGUUGCUGUGGACUCCGUUGGUUUGUUUUGCUAGCUGACACCUUUACACUGUUAACUUGACUAGUCUACAUACAAAUAAAAAGAAUUUCACUAUUAUUAAUAAUUAUUUAGUGUGUUAAGUAUUUUUUUCAUGUAAACUUACAUUGUUUCAAUCAUUCAGUCUAUGCAUUUUGAUGUCUAACAUCCUGAAAUAAAAUACAAGCAUCUAUAAGGAGGAAAAGGAUUUAUUUGGAAUUGCUGCUUCCUGUCUACAGACCCAACAUUCUUCAGAAGGAUUCAGCUGCCACGACAACUGUUCCCGA
ensembl:lncRNA